rnacentral:rRNA from 1 species
UAGAGAUAGGACGUUCCCCUUCGGGGGACAGAGUGACAGGUGGUGCAUGGUUGUCGUCAGCUCGUGUCGUGAGAUGUUGGGUUAAGUCCCGCAACGAGCGCAACCCUUGAUCUUAGUUGCCAGCAUUUAGUUGGGCACUCUAAGGUGACUGCCGGUGACAAACCGGAGGAAGGUGGGGAUGACGUCAAAUCAUCAUGCCCCUUAUGACCUGGGCUACACACGUGCUACAAUGGAUGGUACAAAGGGCUGCAAGAC